AGCACUACCCCUUUGUCCAAGUGCCUUAUAACAUGUCUUUAUAACUGGCUGUGUAAGAAUGAAGAAAAGCUGUCCAUCUUCUGAGAAGCCCACUUCUCCACCAAGGUGCUCAGUUUUAGGAGUGGAGAACAGGGGCCACGGAAAAUACAUUGCUCCCCAGCUCCCAGCUCUCUUUACUUUCUCCCAGGAAGCAGCAUGUGCCAUCCUUCUGUCAGAAAACACCAAAGAGAUGAAGAAAUGAGAAAUCCAGAAACCAAAGACCUUGCUCUUUUGUCAAACAGACUUGGUAGAGCAGAGUUGCAAAAUCAGACCUUUGGGGGCUUGCGUGUUUCUCCUCUUACUCCCUGGUGUAGAAGCCCUGCCUUGAACUUCAGGCUGCCUGGCUUGGAUCCUGAUGCUGCUUUGCUGACACAAUCCAUUCUCCCAGGGAACACCCAGAGUUCCACUCCAGCCCUGGCAACGCUGCAGCAGAGUAGGCCAACUGUACGGAAAGUCUACAUUGGCUCGGAACAAUUGAGGCUGGGAGAGGGUAUCACAGCAAUUUCCCCACAUCCAUUCCAGCUGGUGAUUUCCUGCUUGGUCGUCUUUUAAAACCCAGCCAUCUGAAUCCGAGAGUUGCUUCUUCAGCAAGGCCUCCCCUGACUCCUUCAGAUGUCUAAGCACCACCCCUACUCUUCUGCUGCAGCAUCUCCACUUGCUUUUGUCCUUCAUCUCCCUGAAAUUAUUUGCUUACUCAUCCAUCCAUGUCAGUUGCAAAAGCAUGACUUCCUCUAGUCCAAAGGCCAUUCAUGUUCAAUAUGUUAGCACUCGGAGCGUCUCCAGUGGUUGUUUCAAACAAGGCAAAUGAGUUCAGUUGAACUUUAUAUGUUCUGCCCUCCGACUGUGACUGUUAUUUACUUCCCUCCAAACAAAAUGUAAUAAUAAAAUGACUAACUGAA
rnacentral:lncRNA from 1 species